rnacentral:lncRNA from 1 species
UGAGAGCCAGUUGUAGCGCUGGCAGUGGGCUUUAUGCUUGACCUUUGUUAACCGGAAGUAUUCAGGUAUCCUAAGUGAUGGGUUGGGUUGUGGAAAACUCAGUGGUCUUGAUCAGUACUCUGCCUCCAGCGCAGGGAAAUGAAGCCCAGAACAACUGUGCCCCCCAACCUGAGAGCCCAGGGGCUGGAGUAAGAGGGAGGCUCGUGGAGAACCUGGUAGCGCCUUCUCCCUCCAUCACUGACUGAGGCAGAGAAGCACGAACACCGUGAUGCCUGCUCUGGGGGCUCCAGCUGUGGGAGAGGAGACCACAGGGCCCUCCAGGACAGACAGACACACGGAUGUGGUCACUCAGAGCCUGCUGCUGCCCGUCCAGGCCUCUCUCCUUUACACUUGGAGAAACUGAGGCCCA